GGUAAAUGGCUUUAACAGAAGGAGUAGAAACCAAAGUUAAAAUAUUCAGUUCAUUGGGAAUUUCAGAAAGAGCCCAUCACUCUGCAUCUCUACUUCUCCAGACAGAGGAAGAUAAAUGCGAUGUUGCAAAAAUAAAACCAUGGAAGGCUGCAAGCACUCAGCUACAGUGCAGAUGACAACCGUAAAAAGUAUCUUCAGUAGAGAGCAAUAUAUGACCUUGGUCACAUAGGACAUGGUGAGAGGACAACUGAACUUCAUAUGGUACAUUUCUGACCUGUCUUCACUGAGAAGCAAGAAGUAUUUUUCACUGUGACGUGGCAGUUUUCAAAAAAAAACUUUGAAAUUUUUGAAGUCA